AGGACGCCUGAUAAACCAAGCUUC
rnacentral:siRNA from 1 species